CCUCAUAUCAAAGUGUCAUUCUGGAAUUUGUGAAAGGAUAAAAAGUAAUGCCCCAAACAAAAAGUGUCUAUCAAAAAUAAUGUAAAGUGGAUAUGUUAAUGAGUUUCAUGGACUCUUCCUACAAUGUAUAUAUAGAUUGAAACAUUACAUUGUACCCAGUAAAUAAACACAAUUAUUAUGUGUCAAUUGAAAAAAAGUGAUGUGGAGAUAAGGUGAUGAUGCCCUAAACUCUAAUGCUGUGUUACGACAACAGAAGGAUAUUAUUUAAAAUUGAUGGUUCUAUAUAAUCAGAAGAGGUGCGGUACCAUAGCUCGCUUACUACAACUCCAAAGUGCCCAACUGGGAGAUGAGAACUGUCUUUCACACUUGAACUCUCUAUUCUUCAUUGCCUGUGAUAUCAGAGGUCUUAUUUUAACCAGUGAUGAGGCAGCAUAGAGAACUCGGGCCCCACCACAAUUUAAGAACUCAAGGAAGCAGUAAAGACCCUCACCAAAGGAACUUCUAGAUUCUGGGAUUUAGAGAAUAUAUUUGAGGAAGCAGAACAAUCCCAAAGGAAGACUAUCAUGAAAAAAGAAUGUGGAAAGACUCAUUUUCAUGGCCAUUUGUCUUCUUGCUCCUGGAGGUAGUCCAGCAUUCUGAGCACCUCAUAUUCACCAGAGCCAAGUUUUCCAGAUACCCGGAUAAAAGGCACUCUUGAAAUAGCCUCAAAUGGGAGAGUGAGAUCAGAAAUAUGCCUGUGGAACCCUCUACACGUGGAUCUGGCAGGCAUUCAACACAAACGCAAUUAGAGGGCUUACCCUUGCAUGAAAUAUUUGCUUUCCUGAUAGUCACCAGCAUUAAACUUCAAGAAUGCCAGGGCAUAGUGUUUCUAUGUCAGAGCUGGGAUCCUCUACUUCUCUUUCUUCAAAGUUAUUAUUUUUGAAGUUUGCAUAUGGUA